rnacentral:rRNA from 1 species
AGAUUGAACGCUGGCGGCAUGCCUAACACAUGCAAGUCGAACGGGAGUAGCAAUACUCUAGUGGCGGACGGGUGAGGAAUACGUAGGAAUUUGCCCUUAAGUGGGGGAUAACCCGGGGAAACCCGGAUUAAUACCGCAUGACCUCGAAAGAGCAAAGUGGGGGAUCGCAAGACCUCACGCUUUUGGAGAAGCCUACGUCGGAUUAGCUAGUUGGUGAGGUAAUGGCUCACCAAGGCGACGAUCCGUAACUGGUCUGAGAGGAUGAUCAGUCACACCGGAACUGAGACACGGUCCGGACUCCGUACGGGAGGCAGCA